GUGGGGAAUUUUGCGCAAUGGGGGAAACCCUGACGCAGCAACGCCGCGUGAGUGAUGAAGGCCUUCGGGUCGUAAAGCUCUGUCAGAGGGAAAGAAAUGCGGGAGGGUUAAUACCCCUUUUGCUUGACGGUACCCUCAAAGGAAGCACCGGCUAACUCCGUGCCAGCAGCCGCGGUAAUACGGAGGGUGCGAGCGUUGUUCGGAAUUAUUGGGCGUAAAGCGCGUGUAGGCGGUCUUUUAAGUCUGAUGUGAAAGCCCCGGGCUCAACCUGGGAAGUGCAUUGGAAACUGGGAGACUUGAAUACGGGAGAGGGUAGUGGAAUUCCUAGUGUAGGAGUGAAAUCCGUAGAUAUUAGGAGGAACACCGGUGGCGAAGGCGGCUACCUGGACCGAUAUUGACGCUGAGACGCGAAAGCGUGGGGAGCAAACAGGAUUAGAUACCCCGGUAGUCC
rnacentral:rRNA from 1 species